CCUACCCCAGACCAUUGAAGCACUCUCUGUUCCAGCAUAAUGCUGCUUCCAGACCUGGGGCUCUGGGGCCAGCUCUGCAAAUUCUGGUCACUGCCUCCCUGGAUUUCAACCUACCCAGUGGUGACAUAAGGGUUCCCUGACACCAUGGGUGUAAGCAUGCCUGGUAUGUGGAGGGGAUGCACAAAAAGGCACUAGCUUUAGGGUAAAGCCCAGGAAGCAGAGAGAGGAGUAAAGUCACCAGGCACUGUGGCAGAGACAGGGACCGACUCAGCAGAGGACUGAAGUGAAAGGGAAACUGAGGCUGAGCUGUCAGAGUUGAGAUUUAAAGUUUGUUUGGCUGCAGGGAGGUGGGGCCCUGUUUCCUCUGCCUUUCUGUCUUCUGUCACAGGCUGUGUCGUAGAUAGAGGAGCACGGCCAGACCAAGAAGCCAGUUGGAGCAUUUUCCACUCCUCAUUGGUGCUUCCUCCCAAGGGAGCCGAGAAAGAGAAAGCCCUUAUCUGCAGCAUAGCCAUCAGCCUUCCUAUUAUCCCCAGCCCAUUUGCUUAUCUGGAAGUCCCUUCCUCCAGAUUUGCCUGCCUGUCUCCCAAGUGCUGGAAUCAGAGGUAUGACAGUCUUACUUAGCUGCUAUAGGUAGAACCAAGGGGGGGGGGGGGGCUUGAACUCAUGAUCCUCCUGCCUCUGCCUCUUCAGCUUAACACACCAGCCCGCAGUACCACAAUUAUACACCUCCCCACUCCUGUCCUCUCUCUGUUUUCCAGGACAAGGUUUCUCUGUGUGGCCCUGGCUGUCCUGAACUUGCUGUGUAGACUAGGCUGGCCAUGAAAUCAGAGAUCCACCUGCAUGAACCACUACCACCACUAAGCACCCCUGCCAUUUCUUAACCCAGAUCAUCUUGACUUACUAUCUCAGUGUACUGCAAGCUCCUGACUGAUCUCCCUGCUAGUAGGACAGUGCUUCUCCAUCUAUUCUGGGUGCUGCCUCCAGCCUUCCCCACAAGCUCAGCCCAUUUGUCUUCAUCCUGUUUUGUCUCUCACCAGCCAACAUCCCUACCAUCUGUGGGAUGGUGCUACAGGGUCAGCCUCCUGCCAGAUUUACACGGGAAACUUCAAACUCCACUCUUCACGGCUCUCAGGCCUUGACACGCCUAGUGGUCAGCUAGGGGGUAGGAUGCAGAGCUCUGGAGGGCCACUGACUUUCAAGCAAUUUUCUAUACUUGCUGUAAUUUUCCCAAUUUUCUAUAACCUCGAGGAGCUGGAGGUAAAUGACGAGCUGUCUUUCGAUGGGUUGGAUAGGUUUGAAGGAUUCAUCUAAAAUACCCAAAGAAAUAUUAGAUCUGCAAAAUGCUUAGGUCAGCACCUGACACAGAACUGUUAACUGAUCCCGAAAAAAAAUAGGUCAAAUGUCUUGAGUAUUGAGGUCAGGAAACUGACUUCAGGCGGCUAGUGAGAAUCACACAGCACACUCAAGGUGGCUUCUCGGCAGAUGGAGAAAAGUCUCAGCCAGACAUGGCGAUUUAAUUAAAAUGUUUUCUUUGCUAAUA